rnacentral:rRNA from 1 species
UACGGGGGGAGCAAGCGUUGUUCGGAUUUACUGGGCGUAAAGGGCGCGUAGGCGGCGUGACAAGUCACUUGUGAAAUCUCCGGGCUUAACUCGGAACGGUCAAGUGAUACUGUCGUGCUAGAGUACAGAAGGGCAACUGGAAUCUCGGUGUAGCGGUGAAAUGCGUAGAUAUCGAGAGGAACACCUGCGGCGAAGGCGGUGCUGGCUGAUGACUGACGCUGAGGCGCGAAAGCUAGGGAGCGAACGGG